rnacentral:rRNA from 1 species
UACAGAGGUCUCAAGCGUUGUUCGGAUUCAUUGGGCGUAAAGGGUGUGUAGGUGGCGCCGUAAGUCGGGUGUGAAAUUUCGGAGCUUAACUCCGAAACUGCAUUCGAUACUGCGGUGCUUGAGGACUGGAGAGGAGACUGGAAUUUACGGUGUAGCGGUGAAAUGCGUAGAUAUCAGGAGGAACACCGGUGGCGAAGGCGGGGUCUCUGGACCGAUACUGACACUGAGGAGCGAAAAGCGUGGGGGAGCGAAACAGG